CGGUUGAUCCUGCCGGACCCGACUGCUAUUUGGGUGAGGAUAAGCCAUGCGAGUUGAAUGGGAAACCUAAAAAUCCCAUGGCAAACUGCUCAGUAACACAUGAUCAACUUACCCUAUAGAGGAAAAUAACCUCGGGAAACUGAGGAUAAUGUUCCAUAGUUGAAUUGGCUUGGAAAAGUUUUNCAAUAAAAGGGAUAAGGAAAAUGGUUCUUAUCUGCUAUAGGAUAGGAUCGUGCUCGAUUAUGGUUGUUGGUGAGGUAAAGGCUCACCAAGCCAAUAAUCGAUAGGGGCCGUGAGAGCGGGAGCCCCGAGAUGGGUACUGAGACAACGACCCAGGCCUUACGAGGCGCAGCAGGCGCGAAACCUCCGCAAUACACGAAAGUGUGACGGGGUUACCCAAAGUGUUCUAUUUAGAACUGUGGCAGGUGAGUAAUGUUCCCUACUAGAAAGGAGAGGGCAAGGCUGGUGCCAGCCGCCGCGGUAAAACCAGCUCUUCAAGUGGUCGGGAUAAUUAUUGGGCUUAAAGUGUCCGUAGCCGGUUUAGUAAGUUCCUGGUAAAAUCGGGUAGCUUAACUAUCUAUAUGCUAGGAAUACUGCUAUACUAGAGGGCGGGAGAGGUCUGAGGUACUACAGGGGUAGGGGUGAAAUCUUAUAAUCCUUGUAGGACCACCAGUGGCGAAGGCGUCAGACUGGAACGCGCCUGACGGUGAGGGACGAAAGCCAGGGGAGCGAACCGGAUUAGAUACCCGGGUAGUCCUGGCCGUAAACGAUGCAUACUAGGUGAUGGCACGGCCAUGAGCCGUGUCAGUGCCGUAGGGAAACCGUUAAGUGUGCCGCCUGGGAAGUACGGUCGCAAGGCUAAAACUUAAAGGAAUUGGCGGGGGAGCAC
rnacentral:rRNA from 1 species